rnacentral:rRNA from 1 species
UACGUAGGGCGCAAGCGUUGUCCGGAAUUAUUGGGCGUAAAGAGCUCGUAGGCGGCCUGUUACGUCUGCUGUGAAAUCCCGGGGCUUAACCCCGGGCGUGCAGUGGAUACGGGCAGGCUGGAGGCAGGCAGGGGAGAACGGAAUUCCCGGUGUAGCGGUGAAAUGCGCAGAUAUCAGGAAGAACACCCGUGGCGAAGGCGGCUCUCUGGGACGGUACUGACGCUGAGACGCGAAAGCGUGGGGAGCGAACAGG